rnacentral:rRNA from 1 species
GACAGAGGGUGCAAACGUUGUUCGGAAUUACUGGGCGUAAAGCGUGUGUAGGCGGCUUUGCAAGUCGGAUGUGAAAGCCCCGGGCUCAACCCGGGAAGUGCACUCGAUACUGCAGAACUUGAGUGUGGGAGAGGUUGGUGGAAUUCUCGGUGUAGAGGUGAAAUUCGUAGAUAUCGAGAGGAACACCGGCGGCGAAGGCGGCCUUCUGGACGAUGACUGACGCUGAGACACGAAAGCGUGGGGAGCAAACAGG